ensembl:ncRNA F09G2.11 ncRNA
AAAUAUUUAGAAUUUGUCAUUAAUGUUUUCUUAAAAACACGAUGAUUUUCUGAUUUGAAUUAAGAAAAUAUUAUUAUGCUUCAUCAAAAUUAACUUUCAAAAAAUAUUCGAACAAACGGAAAUUUGGUUUGUGUUGUAAAGUUUUGAAAGGAGCCUAUAUUUGAGCGGGGAUUACUCAGGAAUUUGAAUCCAUGUGGACUCUCUCGCUGGAUCAUUUUUCUCUAU